rnacentral:rRNA from 1 species
AACGAACGCUGGCGGCAUGCCUAACACAUGCAAGUCGAACGAGACCUUCGGGUCUAGUGGCGCACGGGUGCGUAACGCGUGGGAACCUGCCCUUAGGUUCGGAAUAACUCCCCGAAAGGGGUGCUAAUACCGGAUAAUGUCUUCGGACCAAAGAUUUAUCGCCUUUGGAUGGGCCCGCGUUGGAUUAGCUAGUUGGUAGGGUAAAAGCCUACCAAGGCGACGAUCCAUAGCUGGUCUGAGAGGAUGAUCAGCCACACUGGGACUGAGACACGGCCCAGACUCCUACGGGAGGCAGCAGUGGGGAAUAUUGGACAAUGGGCGAAAGCCUGAUCCAGCAAUGCCGCGUGAGUGAUGAAGGCCUUAGGGCUGUAAAGCUCUUUUACCCGGGACGAUAAUGACAGUACCGGGAGAAUAAGCUCCGGCUAACUCCGUG